GGCGGCGUGCCUAACACAUGCAAGUCGUACGAGAAAGUCGGGCUUCGGCCGGUGAGUAAAGUGGCGCACGGGUGAGUAACGCGUGGAUAAUCUGCCCUCCGGUCAGGAAUAACCAAUCGAAAGGUUGGCUAAUACCCGAUCACACUCUUGCACUGCGGUGCAAUAGUCAAAGAUGGCCUCUGUAUACAAGCUAUCGCCGGGGGAUGAGUCCGCGUACCAUUAGCUGGUUGGUGGGGUAAUGGCCUACCAAGGCGAUGAUGGUUAGCUGGUCUGAGAGGAUGGCCAGCCACACUGGAACUGAGACACGGUCCAGACUCCUACGGGAGGCAGCAGUGAGGAAUCUUGCGCAAUGGGGGAAACCCUGACGCAGCAACGCCGCGUGAGUGAGGAAGGCCCUCGGGUCGUAAAGCUCUGUCAGGUGGGAAGAAAUCGAUGAAGGUGAACAACCUCCAUCCUUGACGGUACCACCAGAGGAAGCACCGGCUAACUCCGUG
rnacentral:rRNA from 1 species